rnacentral:misc_RNA from 1 species
GGAUGAAGAACGCAGCGAAAUGCGAUAAGUAAUGUGAAUUGCAGAAUUCAGUGAAUCAUCGAAUCUUUGAACGCACAUUGCGCCCCUUGGUAUUCCGAGGGGCAUGCCUGUUCGAGCGUCAUUAUAACCCCUCAAGCUCAGCUUGGUGUUGGGGCCUGCUGCACUGGCAGCCCUUAAAAUCAGUGGCGGCGCCAUCUGGCUCUAAGCGUAGUAAUUCUUCUCGCUAUGGAGUCCUGGUGGAUGCUUGCCAUCAACCCCCAAUUUUUCUAUGGUUGACCUCGGAUCAGGUAGGGAUACCCGCUGAACUUAAGCAUAUCAAUAAGCGGGGA